ACGGAAGACAGCUGCCUGCUACCUCCCUCCCUACAUAGAGAGCUGUCGCACUAGACAUGACUUGUCAGAUAUCUUAACAGACAGUUGGUUUCGAACUCUCUAUUUAGAUAGCGACAAUGUGUGGUGUCAUCACGUCAACGUUGUCAUGUGUGGUGGCAUCACGUCAACGUUACGUCUGUACCUAAACAUUCUAUACUCCGCUCGAAGAUCUUUGGGUCCCUACCGUCAGACGUCCCGUCAUUUUCCAACUGUCACCACCACUUUUUGUGUACCGGUACCGUCAGUAUGGAGACUACCGUGACUGCCUUGGUCCUUCACCAGCUAAUGGAGUUGGAAGAAGAGGAAACCCUCUGCAGACGAGCCCACCAGAGACGUCUCAAGAUGCUAGCUGCGUAUUGGCAUCUGGCGAAUAUCGAGAGUCUCACGGUUUAUGCCCAGAUGAACUGGGCCGUGCCUAUCCUCAGGCUCUUCUUUGACGAGGAGAAAGAAACCAGGCCAGACUUUAGGCUGAACAGGGCCUCCAUCACAGGUCUGCUGGUGUUGCUGCAGCAGGAGCGUCAUCAUGGAUGGGGUCCAGUGAUUGAAGUCCUGGUGUUCUUGUUUUGGUUGGCCAGCGGGUCAUACUAUCGUAUUGUAUCCCGGGCAUUCGAUAUGCCUAAGUCUACGGUGCACAAUGUUGUUCUGUCCAUGACGCCAGGGUCCUGAGGAACAGCCCUCUAUACCGCCGCGCCAUAUAUCCACCCCCGGGUACGUUCUUGUUGGGUGAUGGAGGCUACCCCUGUCUGGAGCAGCCCAUUGGUCUCCUCACACCAUACAAGAACCCUGUUAGGGGAGUGACAAGGC